rnacentral:ncRNA from 1 species
AGCAUAUUUCGCCCAAGCGGAGCUCGACCGCCUACCGAAGCGAUAGUCGCCUUCAUAGACGCAUAUCGCGAAGUCCUGGGAGUCGAGCCGAUCUGUAAAGAAAUACUGAUCGCUCCC